CCUACGGGAGGCUGCAGUGGGGAAUAUUGGGCAAUGGAGGAAACUCUGACCCAGCAACGCCGCGUGAAUGAUGACUGCCCUCCGAUUGGUAAGCUCUUUUCUAAGGGAAGAAAAAAGUGACGGUACCUUCUGAUUAAGUCUAGGCUAUCUACGAGACAGCAGCCGCGGUAAUACGUAGGAGGCAAGCGUUAUACGGAUUGACUGGGCGUAAGGGGUGCGUAGGUGGUUUGACAAGGUGGUUGGGUAACUUCGGGGCUCAACCGUGUAACUACUACAAAUACUGUCAGACUUGAGUGCAGGGGGGGCAAAUGGAAUUCGUGGUGUAGCGGUGGAAUGCUUAGAUAUUACGAAGAACACCGAUGGCGAAGGCGAUUUGCUAGACUGUAACUGACACUGAUGCACGAAAGUGUGGGGAUCAAACAGGAUUAGAUACCCCAGUAGUC
rnacentral:rRNA from 1 species